GAUGAACGCUGGCGGCGUGCUUAACACAUGCAAGUCGAACGGAAAGGCUCCUGCUUGCAGGGGUACUCGAGUGGCGAACGGGUGAGUAACACGUGGGUGAUCUGCCCUGCACUUCGGGAUAAGCCUGGGAAACUGGGUCUAAUACCGGAUAGGACCACAUUUUGGAUGGUGUGGUGGAAAGUUUUUCGGUGUGGGAUGAGCUCGCGGCCUAUCAGCUUGUUGGUGGGGUAAUGGCCUACCAAGGCGUCGACGGGUAGCCGGCCUGAGAGGGUGUACGGCCACAUUGGGACGGAGAUACGGCCCAGACCCCUACGGGAGGAAGCAGUGGGGAAUAUUGCACAAUGGGCGCAAGCCUGAUGCAGCGACGCCGCGUGGGGGAUGACGGCCUUCGGGUUGUAAACUCCUUUCGCUAGGGACGAAGCGUUUUUGUGACGGUACCUGGAGAAGAAGCACCGGCUAACUACGCG
rnacentral:rRNA from 1 species